rnacentral:lncRNA from 1 species
CCCUCUCAGACCCCAGAUCCCUGCUGGCAGUUUCCUGUCCUCCUCACGCGCACUUUCCAUGACACAAGAGGAAGUCACCUGAGCUCGGGCUGGGUUUUCCAGCAGCCCCGGCCUGGGUGGAGGCCGAAGGUGGGGGUGGGGAGGGGGUGGCAGCCCCCAGGGCCGGGCUCAGAACCUCCUCGGCCUCCGCCGGAGAGGCGCCUGCCUGCGCUGCCCCGGCCCGCAACCAGGAAAGGUUUGCUGACCGCUGCCCUAGGCCACAGACUCAGGGAAUCCACAUUCUGGCUCCAGCUCUGCUCCUAAUCACAAACAAAGCAUUUCACCUCUCCGGUUUCAGACUUUUUAUCUGAAAAAAGUGUGCUGCUUGGACAAAGUGUCUCAGUUCUCAAGCAUCUGUAAAAAUUUGGGAAGGCUGGGAAAGCAAUUCAUACUCAAGUGUGAAUGGUUGAUACCUUCCAGGAGUACUCGCCUUUGAAAAUGACCCCUGAAGAGGCAACUCCUUAACCAAAGAGAUCACGUGCUAACAGCAGGAUUUCAGGCAUCGGCCAUGGGUGGAUGGUGGUGAUGCUGCUGAAGGGGCCCCGUCCCAGCAUCAUUCAAUGCUCAGAGGGUCGCCUCUUCUUGCUCCAUCCCCAACCGAUUGCAGCCAGUUGUUGAGGUUCCAGGCCUGGGGUUGUCAAAGUUUUCAGUUUGUCAAAUGAAACCAGAAAUCUGGAAGUCUAUGUGAAAUCUGAUUUUCAAAUGUUGGCCGUUCAUUUCAAAAAAAUUAAAAGCAUCGAGCUGGCCUCCAAAAGCACAUCGACAGGUCUAAUUUGGCCCCGGAGCUGCCAGUUUGAGACCUUUGAGAGGGAAACACCUAAACUUUGGACUCAGGAGUCUGGACUGGCGUCUCAGCUCUGUCAGCGACAGUGCGGCCUGUGGGCAUAGCCCCGAGGCCUCUGAGCAUAAGUUCUCUCAUCUCCACAGUGGGAUCGUGGUCCCGGACUUCGCAGGCAGGUCAUGAGGCUCACUAUCCCUUCCAGGGAGGGCUUCACACGUGUAUGUGGAACGGUCCCCUUGGACGUCCUUCCUUUCCUGACCUCAAGACUUGGCAGUGUUCUGGAUGACAAGAGAAGGGAAGUUGGGGCUGGUGACCUGGUGGGUUUGAGGUUCUGCCCACCGCUCUGUGUCUCGUUGCUUCUGGAAGCGAGAAGACACCAGACUUACGUGGCUGUUCCUGCUGUGUGCCUGCUCCCGGGCCACCUGCUAGCCCCAGGGUCAUCACCUCUGGACUCCAAGGGACCCCAGGAGCGUCGGGAUUCGGAGAAGCGAGCUCUACCUGGACACACAUCCACCCCAGUCCUGCCCAUAAGUGUCUCUGCCCAGCUCGUGAGCUUCCUGAGGGCGGAGACCUCGUCCUCUCUGGGUGCCAGGGCUCCAUACGGUCCUGGCCCCAGGGUGCCUGUUAAACUGACAUGAAAUGAAUGUCCCUGAGCUCGUACCCAUAGGACAGGACUCUAAAUAUCAUCGGAUCACAUCAUGAGAAAGCGAUGGCCUUUUCUACUCCGUGCCAGUCUUUCUCAUGACAUCAAGGAGAACAUCUUGGGCUGGCGCCAGGAUGUCUUGACGCCUCCCCGCCCUCGCCCAUCCGCACCCAGAGCCAAGAACAGGCGGUCUAGGGCCCAGACCUAGCAGACCAGUGUACCAGCAAGAGUAAGAGCAUUGCUUCAUUUUAGAAUCACCUUCAAUUCUGAGCAAGCGGUGCUGGUUUCCCGCUUCUAACAGCAAUGUAAAGUUUCUUUUAAAUGUGUUUCAAAUUUUAAAACAAUUUCAGACUUAGAGAAAAGUUGCAAAAGUCAUACAAAGAAUUCCUGGAUAUCCUUUAUCCAGAUUCCCCAGUAUUAACAUUUUACUACUUUCUCUCUCUCUCUCUUUUUCUCCCCACUACCUACCUACACACACACACACACGCACACGCACACGCACACAUGCACAGAGAUUAUUUUUUUCUGAACCAUCUAAAAACAGGUUUUCUUGGGGCCAGCCCGGUGAUGGAGUGGUCAGGUUGCCCACUCUACUUUGGUGGCCUGGGGUUUGCAGGUUCGGCUCCCUCAUGUGGACCUGCACACAGCUCAUCAAGCCACGCCGUGGUGGCCUCUCACAUACAAAAUAGAGGAAGAUGGGCACGGAUGUUAGCUCAGGGCCAAUCUUCCUCACCCAAAAAAAAAAAUCAAUACUUCAGUGUAUAUUUCCUAAAAGCAGGAACAUUUUCUUACAUAACUGCAGUACGCUUGUCAAAAUCAGGGAUUUGACACAGACACAGUACUGUUACCUAAUCUGGAGACCUCAUCCUGAUUUCACCCUCCAUCCCAGUAAAACCCCAGCUCACACUUUGCAUUCGGUUGCCAUGUCUCUUUAGCUCCUUUAACUGGAAACAGUUCUCGAGUCUUGGUAUUUUGCCAUCUUAGCAUUUUUGAAAAGCGCGUGCCAGAUAUUUUGUAAAAUGGCUGAAAAGUCCUUUAAAAAUAAAGUUUUGAAAAAACGUGAAUCCA